UACGAAGGGGGCUAGCGUUGCUCGGAAUCACUGGGCGUAAAGCGCACGUAGGCGGAUUGCUAAGUCAGGGGUGAAAUCCUGGAGCUCAACUCCAGAACUGCCCUUGAUACUGGCGAUCUUGAGUCCGGGAGAGGUGAGUGGAACUGCGAGUGCAGAGGUGAAAUUCGUAGAUAUUCGCAAGAACACCAGUGGCGAAGGCGGCUCACUGGCCCGGUACUGACGCUGAGGUGCGAAAGCCAGGGGAGCAAACGGG
rnacentral:rRNA from 1 species